UUUAGGUUUUAUUUUAGCCUAAAAAAUUGAUGUAUAUUGACUUAAUAAUGUGAAAUUUUAACUUUAAAUAAUAAAAAUUGCAAUUAAAAAUUUUAAAUAUUAUAGUAAUAUAGAUUUAGUUAUAUAUUUAAGUAUUAACAAAAUUUGUGCCAGCAGUUGCGGUUAUACAAUUUAAUAUUAUUAAUUUUUUAUCAAUUUAUAAUAAAAAUUAAUUUUAUUUUAUAAUUUAAAUUAUUAAGUGAAAUUUUAAUUUAAUAUAAUUUAAUUUUUUUUAUUUUGAUUUAUUAAAUUUUUAAUUAAACUAGGAUUAGAUACCCUAUUAUUUUAAAUGUAAAAAUUAAAAUUGAUUAGUAGUAGAUAUGUUCUUUAAAAUAAAAAAAUUUGGCAGUAUUAUAAUCUUUUUAGAGGAACCUGUUUUAUAAUUGAUAUUCCACGAUUAAUUGUACUUAUCUAGUGUUUAUAUAUCGUCGUAAAUGAGUUUUUUAUAAGAAUUUAAUACUCGAUAAUUUUAAAUUAAAAUUUAAAUCAGAUCAAGAUGUAGCUAUAGAUAUAGAAAAAAUGGGUUACAGUAAUAAUUAUUUAUGGGAUAAAUAUUGAAAAUAUUUAUUUAAAAUGGAUUUAAAAGUAAUUUUAUUUAUUUAAUUAGAAUGAUUUAGUUCUAUAAUAUGUACAUAUUGCCCGUCGCUUUCAUAUAAAAUGAGAUAAGUCGUAACAAAGUAGUUGUACUGGAAAGUGUAGCUAGAAUUCA
rnacentral:ncRNA from 1 species